CCACGUCAGCUAUCCACAUCAGCUUUCACUACUAUUAAAAUUCUCACGUGACUCUCACAUGACUCACUUAACACCAUCCUGCAACAACUCAGACUCAGACCCGAUUGAAUUCUUAAUCCCCAAAAUGAAAUUUCGAACCCUAACCCACGAUGAAAUCCUUCUUGACAGCCACAUCUCUUCUUGCCUAGUCCCCACGAUCAAAGCUUAAUCUCUUCUCACCGAUUCCACUCUCUUCUCGUAGACUCUGGUGAUUGUAGACCAAAACCAUUGAUGAAUAACUCUGUAACUCACUCAUAUCCAUAGCUUGAUUUCUAUGCUCUUUAAAUGGCUAGUUACUUGUGAAGGGACGAAUCAAAAUUUGAGGAACACAACUACUGGUGUUUAGGAUUUCUCAAGGGAAAACAUUGGAGAAGCAAGGAAUUCAAAUAAAGCCUUCCUCUUGGACCUCCUAUUUGAAAGGUUUUGUCACAUGGGGAGGCACAGUCAAUGGCUUCUACAUGUACUCGAUCAAGAUAUCAGUCUCCAAAUGACUUUGCAAUCAACUGCAUAAGAAUAAUAAUGGACGCCCAAAAAUCACCCUGGUGUUCUUAUUAGGGAGUUUUUCUGGAAAGCUACAAAAGCAACAUAUCUCCAAGAAUAUGAGAGGGUCAUGGAUGAACCAAAAGAAAUUGAUAAAGGGGCAUACAACUGUUUGCAAGACCAUUCAACAACAAUCUGGUCUAGACAUAUGUUUCAUGGGGAUGCAAUGAGUGAUACGGUACUGAACAAUAUGUGUGAGAGUUUUAAUAGCAGGAUCUUGAAAUUUAGAGGGAAGCCUAUAAUCAGCAUGGGGCGUGAGGGUGGUCCAAGUGGUGGACCUCCCAUUAUUGAACCAAAUCAGACAAGUGCACCACCUACCACCAAUGAAGUAGAAUUCCCUUGUGCACCACCCAACUCCAAUGCUACCACUUCAACUCUAAGUAGAAACAACUGUAGGGGUUCAACAAAGUCAAAAAAAAAAAAAAGAACAAUCAUUGAUGAGACUCUGAGAGCUACUACAAAUGCAUCAAGGUAUAUGGAUGCAUUGAGGUUUAUUGAGAGCCAGUCUUUUAUGCAUGGUCCAAGAUUGUAAGUAGGAUGUGCUAGAGUUAUUUUGUAGAGGAGGGCAGCGUAAUAUUAGAGGGUAGCUUAAUAUUUUGUUACUAGCUGGAUCUUGAAUUAAGUUGAUUUUAAUUAAUGUUAAUGGCCUCCUUGAUUUUUGUAAUGGCCUUCUUCACAUUUGUUUUAUAAUUGUCUUGACUAUUGGAAUGUCCUUGACUGUUUACAAGCUAGACAAUGGCUUUUAUUAGCUAAACAAUGGUUUUCAUUGUCAAUGGAAUCAGAAUUUAUUUUGUUAUA